rnacentral:miRNA from 1 species
UAUUUCUGGAAGUUACAGUGG